CCUACGUGAGGCUGCAGUGAGGAAUAUUGGUCCAUGGGCUUACGCCUGAACCAGCCAAGUCGCGUGAGGGAAGACUGCCCUAUGGGUUGUAAACCUCUUUUGUCAGGGAGCAACGCCGGCUACGUGUAGCCGGACUGAGAGUACCUGAAGAAAACGCAUCGGCUAACUCCGUGCCAGCAGCCGCGGUAAUACGGAGGAUGCGAGCGUUAUCCGGAUUUAUUGGGUUUAAAGGGUGCGUAGGCGGAAUGCCAAGUCAGCGGUAAAAUCGCGGGGCUCAACCUCGCUCCGCCGUUGACACUGGCGUUCUUGAGUGGGCGAGAAGUAUGCGGAAUGCGGGGUGUAGCGGUGAAAUGCAUAGAUAUCACGCAGAACUCCGAUUGCGAAGGCAGCAUACCGGCGCCCAACUGACGCUGAAGCACGAAAGCGUGGGUAUCGAACAGGAUUAGAUACCCCAGUAGUC
rnacentral:rRNA from 1 species